rnacentral:hammerhead_ribozyme from 1 species
AUUCAGCUGACGAGUGCUAAAAGGACGAAACGCGCGUCCUGGAU